UUUUUAACUCUCACAAUAUUUUUUAAUUCGAGUUUUACCCUUACUAAAACCCUAAUUUCAUUUUUUUUUCACCUCUCCUUCUUCAAAGUCGAACUCCUUCUCAAUCAAGGCCGAAUUACUUUUGUGACAUCCCAAAUGCUAAUUAAUGUAUAAGGGUGCUAGUUACAGAAACAGAUGAUGAGUGCAUAGUAGUUAAUUGUAUGCAACAGAAUAAUUAUUACAAAUUCCUUACAAAAUAUAUAAGUUCCAAUUACAUAUAUGUAACCGAGGCCAGAAGUGACAAUAAAAUACAAAAUAUCAAAAUACAAAAAGAACUACUUCUAUCACUAUGUAAGAAGACUUAUUAGAGUGCGGGAUAAUUCAUACCCUCAAAAUAUUUUAUGAAUCCACAAGAUCCUCAAAGACUUCAAAGGGUAGGUUAGUGAUCGGUUCCUUACUAUCUUCUUCAUCUAAAGGGGGCAUGGAAAUGGGUGAGUUCCAUAUACUCAGUAAGGAAAAUAGUAUUUAAAUG
rnacentral:lncRNA from 1 species